GGCCAUUGCGGAGGCAUCACUUCCAAAACACGCAAGGACUUAUUUUUGUGGUUGAUAGCAAUGAUCGUGAUAGUGUGGUUGAAGCUAGGGAUGAGUUGCACAGGAUGUUGAAUGAGGAUGAGUUGAGGGAUACUGUGCUGCUAGUUUUUGCAAAUAAGCAAGAUCU